CAGGAGGUUAGUGCUAUAAAAUUGUUGAGAUAAAACCUUUGGCUAGUUCCACUGGACCCCCUUCCAUAGGUGAGUUUGGCAAUAUGUGUGAGCAGGAGAAGAGGCUCUAAUGCACUCCGCCUGACUCAUUUCAGACAAGCCUCGGUUUGUGUCAUUUGGGGCACAUGACCUUGUGUGUGGAGGGUAUCCUCUAUCUCCAGGUUUGCUCCCCUUUCAAGUCAUGAACCGCAGAUCUUGCCAUCCACACUUACAAGUCUACAUUUAUUGCAAAUUCUUCAAAUGGGUGACAUGCUUCUUGAGAGCAGGAAUACAUUCUGUGCUAUUUAUAUUAAACAUACUAUUUGUAGUAUUAAAUGUAUAAAAUUAAACAUAUUAAAUGAAGAUGAACAAUAUUAUAGGAUAGUUAUUAAGAACACAAUGAAUAAGAACACAGUUUUUUCCAUUUUCCUUGGCUCAGCCAUUUAUUAUCUUCUAAAUUUUAGCCAAAGUUGAAGGCAUCUCAAAAUGAAAUAAUAACGUGUGCCCAUAUCAAAAAUAAUGUUGUGAUAUUUGAAAACACACAUAAAGCCCUGAGAAAAAUGCUGGGAAGAAAAAAACCUAUAAGCACUGAAUAUAUUUAGUUAUUACUAGGCAUUAUGACUUGUGGUAAACACAAUAAAACUUUUGAACUAAAUUUACUCAAAAUAUAUUUUAUUCAUUUGACUACUAAUAUCCAGUAUUAUACAAAGAUAGUCACUAUAAUGUUCAUGGAGUACAUGUUAGCAAUUUUAAGUUUAUACUUUUGUUUUUAAAAGUGAAGCAAUUUGGGAUAGUUUCUUAAACUUUUCUUGAUUCAAAUGCCCACAACUAGCCCUAACUUUGUCAAUGACUUGAGAAAAUUAUUUUCUGUAUAUACUGAAAUCGAUUAUUUGAAGGAAGUGUACCAGCCUACAUAGAAGCAACCGAUGAAAAUUAUUCCUAAUUAUUGGGUUUUUAAGUAAAAUGCUUAGCUGUAUUAGGGCCAGA
rnacentral:lncRNA from 1 species